UAGGGAAUCUUCCACAAUGGGCGAAAGCCUGAUGGAGCAACGCCGCGUGUGUGAUGAAGGCUUUCGGGUCGUAAAGCACUGUUGUAUGGGAAGAACAGCUAGAAUAGGAAAUGAUUUUAGUUUGACGGUACCAUACCAGAAAGGGACGGCUAAAUACGUACCAG
rnacentral:rRNA from 1 species